CUUUCUCUUAAAGGUGACUUCAGCUUCCCAAAAAUGAAAGUGCUGUCACCUGAAAUGUCUGCUCCAUGGUCACAUAAGUGGGAUAACCAGCAAUCAACAGUCAUGGCCAUCAUCAUCAGGCAGUAAUCAUGUGCAACAGCCAAUGGAGUAUUCAGAAUACACCUAUGUGCUUAUGCUGCUCAAGGACAGCAGAUUCCUUUCAUUUUCAUCUACAAUGGAACACUUCAGUACAAUGGGCUGUGAAGACAAUUUUUGAUGCUGACUCCUCUGCAUUCUGGCUUCAUUUGUGGAGGUACACAAGCAGCCACAAUAACAGCCUCAAACAUGACUUUCAAAACACACUGCUUCUGUACUUCAAAAGAGAUAUGUCCUCAUUUCUUUCUCAUAUGCCUUUUGUCAAGCCUUUUAUUCUUCACAAAGAAAUACAGAGCUGACCUGAAUAAAACCACUUUUUUUUUUUGACA
rnacentral:lncRNA from 1 species